rnacentral:rRNA from 1 species
GACAGAGGUGCCGAGCGUUAGGCGGAAUCACUGGGCUUAAAGCGUGUGUAGGCGGAUCCGUAAGUACCUUGUGAAAUCCCACGGCUCAACCGUGGAACUGCUGGGUAUACUGGUUCUCUUGAGGUACCUAGGGGCGAGCGGAACAAGUGGUGGAGCGGUGAAAUGCGUAGAUAUCUGGAGGAACACCGGUGGCGAAGGCGGCAUCCUGGACCAAUUCUGACGCUGAGGAGCGAAAGCCAGGGGAGCAAACGGG